CAAUGGGCGAAAGCCUGAUGCAGCGACGCCGCGUGAGGGAUGACGGCCUUCGGGUUGUAAACCUCUUUCAGCAGGGAAGAAGCGAAAGUGACGGUACCUGCAGAAGAAGCGCCGGCUAACUACGUGCCAGCAGCCGCGGUAAUACGUAGGGCGCAAGCGUUGUCCGGAAUUAUUGGGCGUAAAGAGCUCGUAGGCGGCUUGUCACGUCGAUUGUGAAAGCCCGAGGCUUAACCUCGGGUCUGCAGUCGAUACGGGCUAGCUAGAGUUCGGUAGGGGAGAUCGGAAUUCCUGGUGUAGCGGUGAAAUGCGCAGAUAUCAGGAGGAACACCGGUGGCGAAGGCGGAUCUCUGGGCCGAUACUGACGCUGAGGAGCGAAAGCGUGGGGAGCGAACAGGAUUAGAUACCCUGGUAGUCCACGCCGUAAACGGUGGGCACUAGGUGUGGGCAACAUUCCACGUUGUCCGUGCCGCAGCUAACGCAUUAAGUGCCCCGCCUGGGGAGUACGGCCGCAAGGCUAAAACUCAAAGGAAUUGACGGGGGCCCGCACAAGCGGCGGAGCAUGUGGCUUAAUUCGACGCAACGCGAAGAACCUUACCAAGGCUUGACAUACACCG
rnacentral:rRNA from 1 species